rnacentral:snRNA from 1 species
GGAUGUAAGAGUGAUCUGGUUGUGACAUCUGUCACUGAUUGAUCACCAGGGUUGAUUUGGCUGAUCUGGCGGGCUAGGCAGAUAGAUGUCCCUUUCCUCCCUCACCACUCCAUGAAGCUUUGUGCUCAGUUGAAGAGCACAAACUUUCCCAAAUAGAGGAAGACCAGUCUUCAAUUGAGGGCAUAUGAGUAGAUGUGCUUCCAUGCUAGAACACCCAAACAAGCUCUCAAGAUAAUGUAUUAUGCGUUCUAGGAAUUCAGAUGUGAAUAUCAUUGAUGUGGUGUCUACCACAAAAAU